GGGGGCGUUCCGGCUUCGACAGGGAUGCUCAAAGGCCAUACCGCGUGCCGAGGUUCCGGUGGCCUCGUAAAACACCGGAAAAGCCAUAACUGGCAACAACAGCUACGCUCUCGCUGCUUAAGCCAGCGACGUUCUCCAGAAGCCCAGCCGAUGGCGUGCUGGACGAACGACCUAAAGUCGGCUAGCCCAAAGUGAGGCUUCGUAGCCACGGGCGAAUUCUAACGAGGCUCGGUCCGCAGCCCUUGUCGGUGGGGAACCUGCGGGCGACCUUAAAGCACCGACUACGCACGUAGAAGUGGGCUGGAGGGGUCUUUGGACAGGGGUUCGAUUCCCCUCGCCUCCACCA
rnacentral:tmRNA from 1 species